rnacentral:lncRNA from 1 species
UGGAGGAAUAACCAAAAGGGUGAAAGAUUGUUAGCUAAAUCACCCUCAAGGUGGCCGGCCUUUGGUGUUUUAGAGAGAUGUUUCUUUUGCCUCUUUGUUGUUUUAAAACACACAAAAACCCUUAGGAAUAAAUCUCUAUAAAGUUCCUUAUAUAGACAAAAAGAAACCUAGUCAACAACUUGACUUAAUAUCUCUCCCUCUCCACUUUAAAUGGCCGGCCCCUUUGUGUUGGUUUGGGCUUUGGGCUUUUAUUUAUUUCUAGUCAUCCAAUGCUUGAAUAAAAGCCCAAUGGGGCCCAAUGGACCCAAUUAAACCCGAACGUUUCUUUAAGCCCA